CAACUUAGAACAACCAAACUUCAAGUAAAAAUAGGCUAAAAAUGCUUUAAAAGAGGUUUUGGUCCGAGUUGGGUCGACCCGGUUCGGACUGGGUCGGGUCUGGGUCGGUUUUGCUACAUUACUCAUCUUUAAAUCUUCAUAACUUCCUAACCGUAACACCAAAUCCACUUCCGUUUCGACCCAAAUUCCUUAUUUUUGAUCCUCUUCAAUAUAAUCCAAGUGGUUUCUCAAAUGGUUGAGCUUUUCUCGGCACUUCUCAUGAAUUUUCU
rnacentral:lncRNA from 1 species